CGCAUUUCCAUUUGCCACCUGAAUAAUUUACAUUAUUCAGUUCAAGCAGGGCUUUCGUGUUGCUGAUGUAUGUUUGCCUUGCUGCUGUUUCACCUAUAUUUAUAGAACUCUGGUUUAGCUUUAUCAGUGAAAUAGCAUUUAUGGCUGGGAAGGCAUCGCUCAGGAAGGGAGGAUAAAAGCGGAGAGAGCCGAAAAGCUGCACAAUAUCUCAGAGCUGCGCUAGCAAGACAUCCUCUCUUCUGUGUGUUGCAAGGUCUGGAGAAAUCUUGUGGAGCUCUUCUCGGGUGGAUGAACUGGCUGUGAACACUUCGGUGAUCUUGGAGACAGUGGCCGAGAAGAGGGAAAUGGGUUGCAUACAGUAGGACAUUAGAGGCUGAGACUAAGCAGCAGCUUCCAUAUUUCUUACCCUUCAUCCAGCAUCCUUUCCAUAUGUCCUUUUUAUAGGAACCUGGCUUUACUAUCUAAUGUUAAAGAGCAUAAAAUUACAGAAUUUCAUGAGCGUAUACGACUUGCUUUACAUCUGUAAGUGAGGCGUAGAUCCUUCGACCUUGCAAGACCAGCUCCUAAUUGAAUAAACAUUGACAUACAACAGUUUAUAAA